UACGUAGGUGGCAAGCGUUGUCCGGAAUUACUGGGCGUAAAGGGCGUGUAGGCGGCCUUUUAAGUCAGACGUGAAAACCCUGGGCUUAACCCAGGAACUGCGUUUGAAACUGGAAGGCUUGAGGACCGGAGAGGGUAGUGGAAUUCCCAGUGUAGCGGUGAAAUGCUUAGAUAUUGGGAGGAACACCAGUGGCGAAGGCGACUGCCUGGACGGCACCUGACGCUGAGGCGCGAAAGCUAGGGGAGCAAACGGG
rnacentral:rRNA from 1 species